GACAGGCUUGGAGCAUCUGGGCCGACCCGUGAGAUGCUGUAUGCAAACCAGUGGACUUUCUGGAGGUUUGCAGUUUCUUAACAAACUGGGUUGAAUAUGAGCAAUGGACCUUCUGGAGUUGUUAUACAUAUUGAAGUGGAUGGUUUCGUAACAAAUCUGCCGAUGACGCGUCAGUGUGGUGUUGCCCCAAUCAAAGUCGUCUGGGAAGUGUUGUCAAGGCCUUGCAACUGGUGACAUGCGUGACAGCAUUGUCAAAUUCCACAUCACAACACGAUGCACGCCGGUACUCGUGUGUAGAUGUGCUAAGAUGGCUGAAGACCAGUCUGGACCAAGGGCUUUCUGGCCUGCCCCUUCAGUUAGAAGAAACCCAACGAGUCUAUUUUAAAUAAACUCUCAAAACCUUGAA